UACGUAGGGGGCGAGCGUUGUCCGGAUUCAUUGGGCGUAAAGCGCUUUAAGGCGGUUCGCUAAGUCGGGUGUGAAACCUCCAGGCUCAACCUGGAGACGCCACUCGAUACUGGCGUGACUAGAGUUCGGUAGGGGACCACGGAAUUCCUGGUGUAGCGGUGGAAAUGCGCAGAUAUCAGGAGGAACACCAGUGGCGAAGGCGGUGGUCUGGGCCGAUACUGACGCUGGUAGAGCGAAAGCGUGGGGAGCGAACAGG
rnacentral:rRNA from 1 species